rnacentral:rRNA from 1 species
CAGCAGCCGCGGGAAUACGUAGGGUGCGAGCGUUAAUCGGAAUUACUGGGCGUAAAGCGUGCGCAGGCGGUUCGUUAAGACAGAUGUGAAAUCCCCGGGCUUAACCUGGGAACUGCAUUUGUGACUGGCGAGCUAGAGUAUGGCAGAGGGGGGUAGAAUUCCACGUGUAGCAGUGAAAUGCGUAGAGAUGUGGAGGAAUACCGAUGGCGAAGGCAGCCCCCUGGGCCAAUACUGACGCUCACGCACGAAAGCGUGGGGAGCAAACAGGAUUAGAUACCCGCGUAGUCCCUGUCUCUUAUAC